rnacentral:rRNA from 1 species
GAUGAACGCUGGCGGUAUGCUUUACACAUGCAAGUCAUACGGAAGUUAGUUUCGGCUAACUUCAGUGGCGGACGGGUGUGUAACACGUGAGAAUUCGCCUUUAGGAGGGGGAUAACAGGGGGAAACACCUGCUAAAACCCCAUAUGCCUUCGGGUCAAAAGAGAAAUCUGCCUAAAGAGAAGCUCGCGGCUGAUUAGCUAGUUGGUGGGGUAAAGGCCUACCAAGGCGACGAUCAGUAGCUGGUCUGAGAGGAUGAUCAGCCACACUGGAACUGAGACACGGUCCAGACUCCUACGGGAGGCAGCAGUGAGGAAUUUUCUGCAAUGGGCGAAAGCCUGACAGAGCAAUACCGCGUGAGGGAAGAAGGCUUACUGAGUUGUAAACCUCUGUUACCUAAGGAGGAAGAUCUGACGUUACUUAGGAGACGAAGCAUCGGCUAACUCCGUGCCAGCCGCCGCGGUAAUAC